rnacentral:rRNA from 1 species
GACGAACGCUGGCGGCGUGCUUAACACAUGCAAGUCGAACGGAAAGGCCCUGCUUUUGUGGGGUGCUCGAGUGGCGAACGGGUGAGUAACACGUGAGUAACCUGCCCUUGACUUUGGGAUAACUUCAGGAAACUGGGGCUAAUACCGGAUAGGAGCUCCUGCUGCAUGGUGGGGGUUGGAAAGUUUCGGCGGUUGGGGAUGGACUCGCGGCUUAUCAGCUUGUUGGUGGGGUAGUGGCUUACCAAGGCUUUGACGGGUAGCCGGCCUGAGAGGGUGACCGGCCACAUUGGGGCUGAGAUACGGCCCAGACUCCUACGGGAGGCAGCAGUGGGGAAUAUUGCACAAUGGGCGGAAGCCUGAUGCAGCAACGCCGCGUGCGGGAUGACGGCCUUCGGGUUGUAAACCGCUUUCGCCUGUGACGAAGCGUGAGUGACGGUAAUGGGUAAAGAAGCACCGGCUAACUACG